rnacentral:rRNA from 1 species
GACGAACGCUGGCGGCGUGCUUAACACAUGCAAGUCGAACGGAAAGGCCCUGCUUUUGUGGGGUGCUCGAGUGGCGAACGGGUGAGUAACACGUGAGUAACCUGCCCUUGACUUUGGGAUAACUUCAGGAAACUGGGGCUAAUACCGGAUAGGAGCUCCUGCUGCAUGGUGGGGGUUGGAAAGUUUCGGCGGUUGGGGAUGGACUCGCGGCUUAUCAGCUUGUUGGUGGGGUAGUGGCUUACCAAGGCUUUGACGGGUAGCCGGCCUGAGAGGGGGGACGGGCAAAAUGGGGAUGGGAAAAGGGCCAGACUCCUAAGGGGGGGAGGAGGGGGGGAAAUUGCAAAAAGGGGGGGAGCCUGAUGGAGGAAAGCCGGGUGGGGGAUGAAGGCCUUUGGGGUGGAAAACCCUUUCACCAUGGAAGAAGGGGUGGUGAAGGGAAAUGGGGAAGAAAAAACCGGUAAAUAAGGG